UUCGAGGCCUAUUAAACCUCU
rnacentral:snRNA from 1 species